ACAGGGCGGUCACUCACUCGCAGUGCCGCGAGUCUUGACGCUUUUGUUACUCCUAUUAACGCAGGCUGACUUAGGGUCUAGCGAGCUGCGCUGUUUGGUGCGCGUAGCUGGAGGAGCGGGGGACGAUAGGGACCGGGCCGGGCUGAGUGACGGGAGGACGCUGAGAAAAGAGGACACGGUUACAAAGCGAGGAGGCCGCAGUGACGGGGAGGAGGGGCACCACGCCUGACCUCUCCACGAACCUCAAAACCGACGCAAAGCAUUUAACUCGCUGUGACCUCUCGGGUCACGUGACUGCCCGGGGCCCGCGCUCUACGGGAGGCAGGUAGCGCUUUGCACGUGACACCAGUUUAAGGUCCCCGGAUGUCAGAGCUCUUCUCCAUCCCGGUUGCUCGGUCACCGUAAGCCGGAAACUCCACCCCUCGUCUGGUUACUAGGGAAUUUAUGAGCCGGAAGCCCCGCCCGCUGAGCUGUUGUUGUGACGGUGACAGGCCCGGCCCGACCUCCGGGCACUGAUCCCCGCUGGCUCCGCUUCGCCCCGUCCAGGGCCGCACCAUGAAGUGGAUGUUCAAGGAGGAUCAUGCGCUGGAGCACAGAUGUGUAGAGUCUGCAAAAAUCCGAGCCAAAUACCCAGACCGUGUGCCAGUCAUUGUGGAAAAGGUCUCAGGCUCUCAGAUUGUUGACAUUGAUAAGAGGAAGUAUCUGGUUCCAUCUGACAUCACUGUGGCCCAAUUCAUGUGGAUCAUCAGGAAGAGGAUUCAACUGCCAUCUGAGAAAGCAAUAUUCCUCUUUGUAGACAAGACUGUCCCACAGUCCAGCACCAAGCAUGAUACUAACAGUCAAAGUUCCACUGAGAAUGUUAAGGUUGCAUGAUUAAAUGCUCAAAAGUGAAUACCAUAGUCAGGAUUCCUGGAACAACCCUUAAAUCUGCCCCUGCCUAACUAUGGGGCAGCUUUAUGAGAAGGAGAAGGAUGAGGAUGGAUUCUUGUAUGUGGCGUACAGUGGAGAAAACACAUUUGGCUUCUGAAUGCUGAGGUCUGGCUGCUGCAUCAUCCCGCAAUGUAUCUUGUAAAUAGC